rnacentral:rRNA from 1 species
GUGGGACACGGAUUAGAUACCCUGGUAGUCCACGCCGUAAACGAUGAGUACUAAGUGUCGGGUUUUGGCUCGGUACUGAAGUUAACACAUUAAGUACUCCGCCUGAGUAGUACGUACGCAAGUAUGAAACUUAAAGGAAUUGACGGGACCCCGCACAAGCGGUGGAUCAUGUUGUUUAAUUCGAAGAUACACGAAAAACCUUACCAGGUCUUGACAUAAUUUUGCGACAUUAUAGAAAUAUAAUGAAGGUUAUCAGAAUUACAGGUGGUGCAUGGUUGUCGUCAGCUCGUGUCGUGAGAUGUUAGGUUAAGUCCUAAAACGAGCGCAACCCUUGUCGUUAGUUGCGACCACAUAAUGGUGAGCACUUUAGCGAGACUGCCAAUGAAAAAUUGGAGGAAGGUGAGGAUUACGUCAAAUCAUCAUGCCCCUUAUGAUCUGGGCUACAAACGUGAUACAAUGGCUGUUACAAAGAGUAGCUACAACGUGAGUUUUUAGCCAAUCUCAAAAAAACAGUCUCAGUUCGGAUUGAAGUCUGCAACUCGACUUCAUGAAGUUGGAAUCGCUAGUAAUCGCGAAUCAGCAUGUCGCGGUGAAUACGUUCUCGGGGUUUGUACACACCGCCCGUCAAACCACGAAAGUUGAUAAUACCCAAAACCGGUCGCCUAACUUCGUCAGAAGAGGGAACCGUCUAAGGUAGGGUCGAUGAGGGGGGGGUUAAGGA